CGUUGAUGAAGCGAACCAAUACAGCAAAAAUAGAGCAAUACUUCAAUUGAUCAUCUGCCCACGGGAAAAAUAUAUUGUUUUUGAUAGAGAUAUUAUGCAAAUUUGAAAUUGUGCUAUACUUCUUAAAUUAAAUUAUAUCUAGCUAAAACAGUGAAUUAAACUACGAAUAAGGAAUUUGAACUUCGGAACAGGAUUGUAAUUAAAACUAGAGGCUAAAGCAUACAGGAUUGGUUGUGUACCUUGAACAUAUCAAUGAGGAAGAAAGGGAAUGCAUGCUGCGCGAAAAUAGAGAUGGGGUUAGCGAUGAACGAAUAGAAGGAAAGGAACAGAAGAGAAGAUCAAAAGAGUGAAGACAUGAU